UACGUAGGGUGCGAGCGUUAAUCGGAAUUACUGGGCGUAAAGUGUGCGCAGGCGGCUAUGCAAGACAGAUGUGAAAUCCCCGGGCUCAACCUGGGAACUGCGAUUGUGACUGCAUAGCUAGAGUACGGUAGAGGGGGGUGGAAUUCCGCGUGUAGCAGUGAAAUGCGUAGAUAUGCGGGGGAACACCGAUGGCGAAGGCAGCCCCCUGGACCUGUACUGACGCUCAUGCACGAAAGCGUGGGGAGCAAACAGG
rnacentral:rRNA from 1 species